AACGAACGCUGGCGGCAGGCCUAACACAUGCAAGUCGAGCGCGCCCUUCGGGGUGAGCGGCGGACGGGUGAGUAACGCGUGGGAACGUGCCCUUCUCUGCGGAAUAGCCUCGGGAAACUGAGAGUAAUACCGCAUACGCCCUCUGGGGGAAAGAUUUAUCGGAGAAGGAUCGGCCCGCGUUGGAUUAGGUAGUUGGUGGGGUAAUGGCCCACCAAGCCGACGAUCCAUAGCUGGUUUGAGAGGAUGAUCAGCCACACUGGGACUGAGACACGGCCCAGACUCCUACGGGAGGCAGCAGUGGGGAAUCUUAGACAAUGGGGGCAACCCUGAUCUAGCCAUGCCGCGUGAGUGAUGAAGGCCUUAGGGUUGUAAAGCUCUUUCAGCUGGGAAGAUAAUGACGGUACCAGCAGAAGAAGCCCCGGCUAACUCCGUG
rnacentral:rRNA from 1 species